rnacentral:rRNA from 1 species
UACGAAAGGGGCUAGCGUUGCUCGGAAUCACUGGGCGUAAAGGGUGCGUAGGCGGGUUUUUAAGUCAGGGGUGAAAUCCUGGAGCUCAACUCCAGAACUGCCUUUGAUACUGAAGAUCUUGAGUCCGGGAGAGGUGAGUGGAACUGCGAGUGUAGAGGUGAAAUUCGUAGAUAUUCGCAAGAACACCAGUGGCGAAGGCGGCUAUCUGGACGGUUUCUGACACUAAGACUCGAAAGCGUGGGGAGCAAACAGG